rnacentral:piRNA from 1 species
UCCGACUAAUAGGGACACGCUAUCUGGUC